CAGGCCAAGAGGUGAAGUUCUUGUUUAUUGUUGCAGCAACUCUUAUACAGACAUUAGCGUUCAGUUAAAUAAAGGAAGAUAGAUAGCACAGUAAAUACAUCACAACCCCAAACUGGAUGACUGUGGCCACGGGACGGAGGAGGGAGGGAGGGAGGGACCAGUGACCAGACUGUCAAGGAAGUACAUUCAGUGGGUGUGCGGUGUCCACAUUCCAGGCUCACGUGUAGAUAUAUUUUAUUUAUAUAUUUAUUUAUAUUUAUAUAUAGAUCAUUGAGUUUUGUGUAUACAAAGAACGAUAUUGUUACAAAUACAAUACUAUACUUCUCCCGACACUUUACAAUAAGCUCUAUUUCACCCUCUUUACAGAACAAUAGUACAAGUUCAUACUCUAGGUGCUGUGCUAAGUAUGUACAAGAAAUGUCAUUCCCACACAGUCCUCACACACUGCCUUGAUGGAGGGGAAGAAAGAUCGAGUUGUGUGCUCAAGUCAACCUAGGCCAGGGAAGGAGACACAUGAAACUCAAACCAACAGGUGGCCUGUGAAUGCGAGUAAACACAUCUAAGGAGGGGCGGCCCCUGGUUGUAAACAUUGGUAACGGCUACACCACUGGGUCGAGGGACCCGGGAAGGGCUCUGUAGAUGGUUUUCAUCUGUGUGCGGGAGGUGUUGGUGCCCACAGGGUGAGGGGGGGGGAGGAGCUGCCAGGAGACGGA
rnacentral:lncRNA from 1 species